rnacentral:lncRNA from 1 species
AUAAUAGGGCUGUUUGUUUGGUUCUCGCAGGUUCCUGCGGCAAUGUUUUUCAAUUUUUUUGUUCGUUUGAUUGACGCAGGUCCUUGCGUCUAACCGCUGCGUCUGACGCCACGUCCUGCGAUCGACUCUCUGAAAUCCCGCGGUCGCGACAUAAAUGAUGCGGCCAGAAGGUCAAUUUACAUUUUUACCCUUAACAUCUUUCAAUAUUUACAAAUAAACCUAGCCCUAAUUAGAUGUUUUAGUUAAUGACUUUUUUUUUUUUUUUUUUGAAGUUCGCCCUAGAGAGAAUCUCUCUCGAGCCCGCAUCCCAAGGCGCCGUUUCGAUGGAUCUUCCUUGCUCCAACCACGAC